rnacentral:rRNA from 7 species
UUAGCCCUAAACUUAAAUAGUUAUCUAACAAAACUAUUUGCCAGAGAACUACUAGCCACAGCUUAAAACUCAAAGGACUUGGCGGUACUUUAUAUCCAUCUAGAGGAGCCUGUUCUAUAAUCGAUACACCCCGUUCUACCUCACCAUCUCUUGCUAAUACAGUCUAUAUACCGCCAUCUUCAGCAAACCUUAAAAAAGAAACACAGUAAGCAAGAUAAUAAUCAUAAAAACGUUAGGUCAAGGUGUAACCUAUGAGAUGGGAAGCAAUGGGCUACAUUUUCUCUCAGAGAACACUUACGCUACCCUUUAUGAAACCUAAAGGAUCAAGGAGGAUUUAGUAGUAAAU